GAUGAACGCUGGCGGCGUGCUUAACACAUGCAAGUCGAACGUGAGAAUAGCAAUAUUUGAAAGUGGCAAACGGGUGAGUAACACGUGGGAACCUGCCUCGAAGUGGGGGAUAACGAUUGGAAACGGUCGCUAAUACCGCACGGUUCUGCUCUGAUGGGAAUGGAGCAGAUAAAGAUUUAUCGCUUUGAGAGGGGCCCGCGGCCGAUUAGCUAGUUGGUAAGGUAAAGGCUUACCAAGGCGAUUAUCGGUAGCUGGUCUGAGAGGACGAUCAGCCACACGGGAACUGAGACACGGUCCCGACUCCUACGGGGGGCAGCAGUGAGGAAUAUUGGGCAAUGGGCGAAAGCCUGACCCAGCAACGCCGCGUGGAGGAUGAAGGCUUUAGGGUUGUAAACUCCUUUUGUGGGGGAAAAGAAUGGAAUGGUACCCCAAGAAUAAGUCACGGCUAACUACGUG
rnacentral:rRNA from 1 species